GCGGUGGAGCAUGUGGUUUAAUUCGUAUGAUACGCGAGGAACCUUACCUGGGCUCAAAUGUAUGUUGACGUAUUCUGAAAGGGAUACUUCUUCGGACAAUAUACAAGGUGCUGCAUGGUUGUCGUCAGCUCGUGCCGUGAGGUGUCGGGUUAAGUCCCAUAACGAGCGCAACCCUAUCAUUAGUUGCCAUCAGGUCAAGCUGGGGACUCUAAUGAAACUGCCUACGCAAGUAGUGAGGAAGGUGGGGAUGACGUCAAAUCAGCACGGCCCUUACGUCCAGGGCUACACACGUGCUACAAUGGCCGGUACAAAGGGCAGCUACCUGGUGACAGGAUGCUAAUCUCAAAAGCCGGUCUCAGUUCGGAUCGGAGUCUGCAACCCGACUCCGUGAAGCUGGGAUCGCUAGUAAUCGCGCAUCAGCCAUGGCGCGGUGAAUACGUUCCCGGGCCUU
rnacentral:rRNA from 1 species